rnacentral:rRNA from 1 species
UUGUCCCCUAAAUAGGGACUGGAAUGAACGGCUAAAUGAGGACAAAACUGUCUCUUACGGCUUGGCCAAUGAAAUUGAUCUUCCUGUACAAAAGCCGGAAUAAACCCAUAAGACGAGAAGACCCUGUGGAGCUUCAAAACCAAGACCACUAAACAUGCUCCUUGGAUUUUUAGUUGGGGCGACUUUGGAGCAAAAAAAACCCUCCAAAACAUAAAUUUAUUUAUUAAGACUAACAUACCAAAAAUAAUUUUUAUAGACCCAGCAAUAUUCUUAUUGUCUGACUAAUGAACCAAGUUACCCCAGGGAUAACAGCGCCAUCCUCUUCUAGAGUCCCUAUCGACAAGAGGGUUUACGACCUCGAUGUUGGAUCAGGACACCCCUAUAGUGCAGCCGCUAUAAAAGGUUCGUUUGUUCAACGAUUAAAGUCCU